GAGCGAUAUCUUCUAAAGGCCGCCACAACGCUGUGGGGAUGUUGGAAAGCGGUACUUUCUCGAGGCAGGAUCCGAAGUGGUACCAGGGGUUUAUCCUGUAUGGGACUCUCCACGCUUCCUGGACUUGGGUGGCUAUUUCCUUUCCCAUGUUAGAGUGAGGACUUCUUCCUAUGGAUCAUCUCUCUGGUGUCAUGAAAACCUCAUGUAUAAAGCUG